rnacentral:rRNA from 1 species
CAGCCGCCGCGGGAAUACAGAGGGUGCGAGCGUUAAUCGGAUUUACUGGGCGUAAAGCGUGCGUAGGCGGCUUCUUAAGUCGGAUGUGAAAUCCCUGAGCUUAACUUAGGAAUUGCAUUCGAUACUGGGAAGCUAGAGUAUGGGAGAGGAUGGUAGAAUUCCAGGUGUAGCGGUGAAAUGCGUAGAGAUCUGGAGGAAUACCGAUGGCGAAGGCAGCCAUCUGGCCUAAUACUGACGCUGAGGUACGAAAGCAUGGGGAGCAAACGGGAUUAGAUACCCCUGUAGUCCCUGUCUCUUAUAC